UUCUUCCGAUUCUCAGCAACCUGGGUUUCUUCCUUUUACAGUUUUACUGUAUCAAAUCUACACUUGGCCUGAGUUCUGCGCUCCGACAAGGGCGCCCUGAGGUGGGUUUCAAAUGGGUAUAUGGACUCGUGUCAACUUUUUCAAGAGGAGACAAAUGAGACUAUGAAUCUUUACCUGUCUCAAUCACGUAUAACAUGCAUACAAGGAUCGUCUUGGUUGUUGUACUGUGUUCUGUAAUGUCAAGAUAUCUCCCCUCAACGACACCCUUCCUCCUUACCAAUCCACCCUGCGCUUGAUGUUCAAUUCAAACAGUUGGAGGUCUUCGCUGUCGAUUGCCUUAGGGUUGUGGUACAACAACUGAAGGAGGCAGAGAUCACUGAGCUGGACUCGCUUCUUCUGGAAAUCAACAAGCUCUUACUCAUCAAUUAUGAAGGAACUCUUAGUUGCUCUCUCUAGUGUUGCAGUGUUGGAUCUUCCUUUACAUAGUUUUUUUUGCUGUAGAAUUGAACUUUUUGUCGAAGAAACCCUAGAUUGAUAUAUUUGAUUGCUAGAUGUAACAUUUUCUGUGACUGCAAUAAGGAAAUGAGAAUAAAUGUAUGAAUUUGACUCUGAAUACUCUAUUUUAUCUGCUCUACCUGCCUCACAUUGCUAUCUGCAGUAUCAAUUAGAACAGAGGCCUUUUUCCGGAGAAGGAUUUCAACAAUGUAUCUGUUCUGGC